rnacentral:rRNA from 1 species
AGGAUGAACGCUGGCGGUCUGCUUAACACAUGCAAGUCGAACGGAGUAGAAAUACUUAGUGGCGGACGGGUGAGUAACGCGUGAGAAUCUACCUUCAGGACGGAGACAACAGUUGGAAACGACUGCUAACCCCCGAUGUACUGAAAAGGCAAAUAUUUAUAGCCUGAAGAAGAGCUCGCGUCCGAUUAGCUAGUUGGAGAGGUAAAAGCUCACCAAGGCGACGAUCGGUAGCUGGUCUGAGAGGACGAUCAGCCACACUGGGACUGAGACACGGCCCAGACUCCUACGGGAGGCAGCAGCGGGAAUUUCCGCAAUGGGCGAAAGCCUGACGGAGCAAGACCGCGUGGGGGAAGAAGGCUCUUGGGUUGUAAACCCCUUUUCUCUGGGAAGAACGCAAUGACGGUACCAGAGGAAUCAGCAUCGGCUAACUCCGUGCCAGCAGCCGC